rnacentral:rRNA from 1 species
UCGACGGCAGCGCGGGGCAACCUGGCGGCGAGUGGCGAACGGGUGAGUAAUAUAUCGGAACGUACCCUGGAGUGGGGGAUAACGUAGCGAAAGUUACGCUAAUACCGCAUACGAUCUAAGGAUGAAAGUGGGGGAUCGCAAGACCUCAUGCUCCUGGAGCGGCCGAUAUCUGAUUAGCUAGUUGGCGGGGUAAAAGCCCACCAAGGCAACGAUCAGUAGCUGGUCUGAGAGGACGACCAGCCACACUGGAACUGAGACACGGUCCAGACUCCUACGGGAGGCAGCAGUGGGGAAUUUUGGACAAUGGGCGCAAGCCUGAUCCAGCAAUGCCGCGUGAGUGAAGAAGGCCUUCGGGUUGUAAAGCUCUUUUGUCAGGGAAGAAACGGUGGGGGCUAAUAUCUCCCGCUAAUGACGGUACCUGAAGAAUAAGCACCGGCUAACUACGUGCCAGCAGCCGCGGUAAUACGUAGGGUGCAAGCGUUAAUCGGAAUUACUGGGCGUAAAGCGUGCGCAGGCGGUUUUGUAAGUCUGUCGUGAAAUCCCCGGGCUCGACCUGGGAAUUGCGAUGGAGACUGCAAGGCUAGAGUUUGGCAGAGGGGGGUAGAAUUCCACGUGUAGCAGUGAAAUGCGUAGAUAUGUGGAGGAACACCGAUGGCGAAGGCAGCCCCCUGGGUCAAAACUGACGCUCAUGCACGAAAGCGUGGGGAGCAAACAGGAUUAGAUACCCUGGUAGUCCACGCCCUAAACGAUGUCUACUAGUUGUCGGGUCUUAAUUGACUUGGUAACGCAGCUAACGCGUGAAG